GAGACUAUAAUGCAAGUCGAACGAACUUCCGUUAAUUGAUUAUGACGUACUUGUACUGAUUGAGAUUUUAACACGAAGUGAGUGGCGAACGGGUGAGUAACACGUGGGUAACCUGCCCAGAAGUAGGGGAUAACACCUGGAAACAGAUGCUAAUACCGUAUAACAGAGAAAACCGCAUGGUUUUCUUUUAAAAGAUGGCUCUGCUAUCACUUCUGGAUGGACCCGCGGCGUAUUAGCUAGUUGGUGAGGUAAAGGCUCACCAAGGCAGUGAUACGUAGCCGACCUGAGAGGGUAAUCGGCCACAUUGGGACUGAGACACGGCCCAGACUCCUACGGGAGGCAGCAGUAGGGAAUCUUCCACAAUGGACGCAAGUCUGAUGGAGCAACGCCGCGUGAGUGAAGAAGGGUUUCGGCUCGUAAAGCUCUGUUGUUAAAGAAGAACGUGGGUAAGAGUAACUGUUUACCCAGUGACGGUAUUUAACCAGAAAGCCACGGCUAACUACGUGCCAGCAGCCGCGGUAAUACGUAGGUGGCAAGCGUUAUCCGGAUUUAUUGGGCGUAAAGCGAGCGCAGGCGGUCUUUUAAGUCUAAUGUGAAAGCCUUCGGCUCAACCGAAGAAGUGCAUUGGAAACUGGGAGACUUGAGUGCAGAAGAGGACAGUGGAACUCCAUGUGUAGCGGUGAAAUGCGUAGAUAUAUGGAAGAACACCAGUGGCGAAGCGGCUGUCUGGUCUGCAACUGACGCUGAGCUCGAAAGCAUGGGUAGCGAACAGGAUUAGAUACCCUGGUAGUCCAUGCCGUAAACGAUGAUUACUAAGUGUUGGAGGGUUUCCGCCCUUCAGUGCUGCAGCUAACGCAUUAAGUAAUCCGCCUGGGGAGUACGACCGCAAGGUUGAAACUCAAAAGAAUUGACGGGGG
rnacentral:rRNA from 1 species